GACGAACGCUGGCGGCGUGCUUAACACAUGCAAGUCGAACGGAAAGGCCCUGCUUUUGUGGGGUGCUCGAGUGGCGAAUGGGUGAGUAACACGUGUGUAACCUGCCCUUGACUUUGGGAUAACUUCAGGAAACUGGGGCUAAUACCGGAUAGGAGCUCCUGCUGCAUGGUGGGGGUUGGAAAGUUUCGGCGGUUGGGGAUGGACUCGCGGCUUAUCAGCUUGUUGGUGGGGUAGUGGCUUACCAAGGCUUUGACGGGUAGCCGGCCUGAGAGGGUGACCGGCCACAUUGGGACUGAGAUACGGCCCAGACUCCUACGGGAGGCAGCAGUGGGGAAUAUUGCACAAUGGGCGGAAGCCUGAUGCAGCAACGCCGCGUGCGGGAUGACGGCCUUCGGGUUGUAAACCGCUUUCGCCUGUGACGAAGCGUGAGUGACGGUAAUGGGUAAAGAAGCACCGGCUAACUACGUGCCAGCAGCCGCGGUGAUACGUAGGGUGCGAGCGUUGUCCGGAUUUAUUGGGCGUAAAGGGCUCGUAGGUGGUUGAUCGCGUCGGAAGUGUAAUCUUGGGGCUUAACCCUGAGCGUGCUUUCGAUACGGGUUGACUUGAGGAAGGUAGGGGAGAAUGGAAUUCCUGGUGGAGCGGUGGAAUGCGCAGAUAUCAGGAGGAACACCAGUGGCGAAGGCGGUUCUCUGGGCCUUUCCUGACGCUGAGGAGCGAAAGCGUGGGGAGCGAACAGGCUUAGAUACCCUGGUAGUCCACGCUGUAAACGGUGGGUACUAGGUGUGGGGUCCAUUCCACGGGUUCCGUGCCGUAGCUAACGCUUUAAGUACCCCGCCUGGGGAGUACGGCCGCAAGGCUAAAACUCAAAGGAAUUGACGGGGCCCCGCACAAGCGGCGGAGCAUGCGGAUUAAUUCGAUGCAACGCGUAGAACCUUACCUGGGUUUGACAUGGAUCGGGAGCGCUCAGAGAUGGGUGUGCCUCUUUUGGGGUCGGUUCACAGGUGGUGCAUGGCUGUCGUCAGCUCGUGUCGUGAGAUGUUGGGUUAAGUCCCGCAACGAGCGCAACCCUUGUUCACUGUUGCCAGCACGUUAUGGUGGGGACUCAGUGGAGACCGCCGGGGUCAACUCGGAGGAAGGUGGGGAUGACGUCAAGUCAUCAUGCCCCUUAUGUCCAGGGCUUCACGCAUGCUACAAUGGCUGGUACAGAGAGUGGCGAGCCUGUGAGGGUGAGCGAAUCUCGGAAAGCCGGUCUCAGUUCGGAUUGGGGUCUGCAACUCGACCUCAUGAAGUCGGAGUCGCUAGUAAUCGCAGAUCAGCAACGCUGCGGUGAAUACGUUCCCGGG
rnacentral:rRNA from 1 species